rnacentral:rRNA from 1 species
GUACAGGUGCAGGGGCUGUAGAUGGCCAAAGGCGUAGGGAAAAUCUUUCACAGCGAUGACAAAAGAAUGGAUUUUUACAUAAUAGAAGUACUCUACUUACAUAGUACUAUAUAUCCAUCAUCACAGUAUUUACAUGAUAUAAUUUCUCCAUUUACACGAUAUAACAUCACAAAAAAAAUUAUUACAAAAUUGAUGAACUGGCCCUUGCCAGCGCAGAUCUGAGAGCAGGCCUCGAGCUCGAGGAGGCGAACGGUGGUCUUCGGGAGGAUUUGGCCAUGGCUCCAUGGAGCCCUGGAUCGGGAGGAGGAUCCCUCUGCUGACUCCGGCUUAGGCAGUGGCGAGGCAGGGCCAACCAGGCAGAGGUUGUGCUGCAGAGGAGCUCCGGCGAGCUGUUGACAAAGCAACGACGCCGCCGUGUCGAAGGGCACCGGCGGUUGAUGAGAAGGGGAGAGCCAUGGGCUCGUGGGCGAGGAGGAGGAACCCGUGCCGGCGAGGGGGGGUCGACCAGCGAUGGUCGACGAGCAGGGAAGGAGGAGGCACCGGGCCGCGAGCGGGGAGGAGGAGGAGGAGGACCCAGCGGCGGCCUCCGGCUCAGGUGACGGUGAGGUGGGGUCGAGCGGCGAGGGCUGACAAGCAGGGGAGGAGGAGGAGGAUCCCGCUCCAUCCUCGGCUCAGGCGGCGGCGAGGCGGGAUCGACCGCGGCGGUUGACGAGGAGUGGACGAGGAGGAGGCCUGGACCGGGCGUGGGGUGUGCGGCAGGGAAGAUGUGGAUCGAGGUAAGGAUGGGGUUGGCAUGGGAGAGAUCGUGGUGGGCCUUAGGGAUAAGAUAGAGAGA